GGCCUACCAAGGCGACGAUCUGUAGCUGGUCUGAGAGGAUGAUCAGCCACACUGGGACUGAGACACGGCCCAGACUCCUACGGGAGGCAGCAGUGGGGAAUAUUGGACAAUGGGCGAAAGCCUGAUCCAGCCAUGCCGCGUGUGUGAAGAAGGCCUUUUGGUUGUAAAGCACUUUAAGUGGGGAGGAAAAGCUUAUGGUUAAUACCCAUAAGCCCUGACGUUACCCACAGAAUAAGCACCGGCUAACUCUGUGCCAGCAGCCGCGGUAAUACAGAGGGUGCAAGCGUUAAUCGGAAUUACUGGGCGUAAAGCGCGCGUAGGUGGUUAUUUAAGUCAGAUGUGAAAGCCCCGGGCUUAACCUGGGAACUGCAUCUGAUACUGGAUAACUAGAGUAGGUGAGAGGGGAGUAGAAUUCCAGGUGUAGCGGUGAAAUGCGUAGAGAUCUGGAGGAAUACCGAUGGCGAAGGCAGCUCCCUGGCAUCAUACUGACACUGAGGUGCGAAAGCGUGGGUAGCAAACAGGAUUAGAUACCCUGGUAGUCCACGCCGUAAACGAUGUCUACCAGUCGUUGGGUCUUUUAAAGACUUAGUGACGC
rnacentral:rRNA from 1 species